UCUCGGGAAGCUGGAAAUACAGUGGGAGGGAAAAUAUAAUCUUUCUCUCAUUUCAGAUGAACUUCUGCCUUCCUUGAAAUUCCUGUGAAUUUCAAAGCCUUUGAUGGUCAUGAAACAUCAGAGGAGCCUUUAUGCUAAGCGAAACCUAUGUGAAAGAAGCUCUGCUUCUGAUCCCACCAGUACCAGCUACGCACCCCGAUCCUCCUCCUUGUGUUUGUCAUCCUCCCAGCCCAUGCAGCCAUGCUGCAUUUGUUCGGGUGGUCGUGGCUCUGCCUUAAUGUGCUGUGUAGGGCGAUACUGAAGCAAGACCCUUUGUGGGACUUGCCCACAGGACCUCUGGGCCACCCCGGCUGCUCCCCUGCAGGCCAGCCUCUCCUGUAGGGCCUUGCUUUGUGCUCUGAGAGGCCUCGCCUGCAGCAAAGCCUGCGGUGCCUUUAUCCCAGCAUCCCUGACUGGGUCCACAUCACAGCAAGGGGCUUUCCUGGGGGAGCCCUGACACCAGCAGGCACGGGUAGCAGCUCUGCAGGCAGCCACGGGUCCCUGCGAUUGCAGGCACCGAGGAGGAGGGCAGCCUGACCACCCGCACGAGCCGGGGCAGCCGCUCCUUGGGAUGGGAGCAGCCUGGGCACAGCCGGUGGGACGCGGCGGGGAGUUUCUUCUCCACAGCAGAGCCAGCAGCAGGAGGCUGUGCAGGGGGUGCCACCGAAAUCACAGGGGCUGCAGGGUUGGAAGACGGCCCCAGCAGGUCCCUCCUGAACGGGGCACUGCUCUGUGUAAGGGCAAAUACAGUGCCACUGCUUCCUGCUCCUCAUCUCCCAGCCACUUCCAGAGGCUCUGGUGGGUGUCCCACCAGGAAAUCCCUCCAGAAUUGUUGCUGGCAGGGAACAGCAUCUGAGCAAGCAAAGGGGCAGACAGAAGAACCAAGAGCAGACAUCCCAAGGCUGGUGUUUUCCACAUGGGCGAUGUGGAGAAGCAGGCCCCGGUGUGGGCACGGCCAGAGAAGAAGUCUGUGGAAGCCAACCCACACGGCGUCGGGGACCUUGCUGGGAGAGGGCAGCAAGCGCCCUGGGGAGCCGUUCUGCUGCUGCAAGGAGGCUGCAGAAUGCAAUAUAAGUAUUCAGUAUCUGAGGCAAGCGUGGUGAGGGGAGAGGAAGGGAAAUUAUGCUGAGAUCCAGAAGUGUGACAGGGUGGCUUGGAAGACAAAUCCUCCAGAAGAAAGCAAGUAAUUCAGAAAAGCUUUAUUGUAAGUGAAGAAAUGAAGAUCUGUGCGUUCACCAGAAAGGCUCCAAGUGGUCUGGUCUGAAUGUAAAGCAGAGGAUGCAUUUGCAGCACUAAGCAGCAAGGCGAGGAGAAAAAAAAAACCACAACAUAAUAAAAGUGGCAAAGUUCAACA
rnacentral:lncRNA from 1 species